GGGAUUGUGGCUCAGUGGUAGAGCACUUGUCUCAUACAAGUGAGACACUUAGUUUGAUUCUCAGUACCA
rnacentral:tRNA from 1 species